UCAAAGAUUAAGCCAUGCAUGUCUCAGUACUAGCCGACCUAAGGCGAAACCGCGAAUGGCUCAUAAAUCAGUCAUGAUUCAUUGGAUGUUGUAAAACCUUACUCGGAUAACUGUGGUAAUUCUAGAGCUAAUACGUGCAACUAAGCUCCAACCCCGACCGGCGGCCCUCGGGUCGGCGGGCGGGGAAGGGCGCAUUUAUUAGACCAAAAACCGGGUGGACAUACGGGUCGACGUCUUCCCUGCUGACUAAGUCGGCGUCGUAGCUGCUGCCGCAGCCGCCGCGACGGCUCUUCCCUCUCUCUUUGCUGUAACUGUUUAAUGCCGCCGUCGUCGUCGUUCCAGAUUCUGGUCGUCGCGCGGUUUCGCUUUUUCAGCCAGACGGGGAGUAGUGGUAGACGCCUAGCGACGCGCGUGCACACUCGCGUCACGCAGCAUAGGGCCCGACCUAGUCCAAUCCUUUACGGUUUCGUGGUGACUCUGAAUAACUAAAGCCGAGCGCUGAGGUCUUCGUACCGGCGCCGUAUCUUUCAAGUGUCUGCCUUAUCAGCUCUCGAUUGUAGGUUAUUCGCCUACAAUGGCUGUAACGGGUAACGGGGAAUCAGGGUUCGAUUCCGGAGAGGGAGCCUGAGAAACGGCUACCACAUCUAAGGAAGGCAGCAGGCACGCAAAUUACCCAAUCCCGGCUCGGGGAGGUAGUGACGAAAAAUAACGAUGCGGGACUCUUCCGAGGCCUCGCAAUCGGAAUGAGU
rnacentral:rRNA from 1 species